rnacentral:lncRNA from 1 species
AUAGUUAAUACCUGUGAUACCAGAUGCAGAUUAUUUACAAGACCAGUUUAUUUUAUUUGCUGUAAAAGGAGAAGAUAGUCAUGAAUCAUAUGGUGAAGGUGUUAUUGCAUUAAAACCACUUCUUGAAAAUAAAAUUCAUGAUUUUGAGUGUCAACUUACUCAUUUUGGAAUUGAAACUGGUGUGUUCAAAUGUAGACUGCAAAUGAAUGCUCCACAAAGUUUUAACGCAAAAGUCAGUAGAACUAAUUCUAGUCCUUAUGCUAUUUUGUCUGUUGAACCAGCUGAAAAUGAAUCUUCAUCAAACAGG